CUACGGGACGCACCAGUCGAGAGGCUUCGGCAAUGGGGGAAACCCUGACCGAGCGACGCCGCGUGGGUGAUGAAGAUCCUUGGAUCGUAAAACCCUGUCAAGUGGGAUGAAACACGCCUGGAUAAUACCCAGGCGGAUUGACAGUACCACUAGAGGAAGCUCCGGCUAACUCCGUGCCAGCAGCCGCGGUAACACGGGGUGAGCAAGCGUUGUUCGGAUUUAUUGGGCGUAAAGAGCUCGUAGGCGGCUUCGUAAGUCAGGGGUGAAAUCUGACGGCUCAACCAUCAACCCGCCUUUGAAACUACGAAGCUUGAGUUCAUGAGAGGGAAGUGGAAUUCCUGGUGUAGCGGUGAAAUGCGUAGAUAUCAGGAGGAACAUCAGUGGCGAAGGCGGCUUUCUGGCAUGAAACUGACGCUGAGGAGCGAAAGCCAGGGGAGCGAACGGGAUUAGAUACCCUGGUAGUC
rnacentral:rRNA from 1 species